rnacentral:rRNA from 1 species
AAACUCAAGCUAAUACCGCAUACGCCCUACGGGGGAAAGCAGGGGCUCUUCGGACCUUGCGCUAUCGGAUGAGCUUAUGUCGGAUUAGCUGGUUGGUGAGGUAACGGCUCACCAAGGCGACGAUCCGUAGCUGGUCUGAGAGGAUGAUCAGCCACAUCGGGACUGAGACACGGCCCGAACUCCUACGGGAGGCAGCAGUGGGGAAUAUUGGACAAUGGGGGCAACCCUGAUCCAGCCAUGCCGCGUGUGUGAAGAAGGCCCUCGGGUUGUAAAGCACUUUCAGCGAGGAAGAAUGCUUGUCGGUUAAUACCCGGCAAGGGAGACAUCACUCGCAGAAGAAGCACCGGCUAACUCCGUGCCAGCAGCCGCGGUAAUACGGAGGGUGCGAGCGUUAAUCGGAAUUACUGGGCGUAAAGCGUGCGUAGGCGGCUUGAUAAGCCGGUUGUGAAAGCCCCGGGCUCAACCUGGGAACGGCAUCCGGAACUGUUAGGCUAGAGUGCAGGAGAGGAAGGUAGAAUUCCCGGUGUAGCGGUGAAAUGCGUAGAGAUCGGGAGGAAUACCAGUGGCGAAGGCGGCCUUCUGGACUGACACUGACGCUGAGGUACGAAAGCGUGGGUAGCAAACAGGAUUAGAUACCCUGGUAGUCCACGCCGUAAACGAUGUCGACUAGCCGUUGGGGUCCUCGAGACCUUUGUGGCGCAGUUAACGCACUAAGUCGACCGCCUGGGGAGUACGGCCGCAAGGUUAAAACUCAAAUGAAUUGACGGGGGCCCGCACAAGCGGUGGAGCAUGUGGUUUAAUUCGAUGCAACGCGAAGAACCUUACCUACCCUUGACAUCGUGCGAACUUUCCAGAGAUGGAUUGGUGCCUUCGGGAGCGCACAGACAGGUGCUGCAUGGCUGUCGUCAGCUCGUGUUGUGAAAUGUUGGGUUAAGUCCCGUAACGAGCGCAACCCUUGUCCCUAUUUGCCAGCGAUUCGGUCGGGAACUCUAGGGAGACUGCCGGUGACAAACCGGAGGAAGGUGGGGACGACGUCAAGUCAUCAUGGCCCUUACGGGUAGGGCUACACACGUGCUACAAUGGCCGGUACAAUGGGUUGCAAAGCGGCGACGUGGAGCUAAUCUCAUAAAGCCGGUCUCAGUCCGGAUCGGAGUCUGCAACUCGACUCCGUGAAGUCGGAAUCGCUAGUAAUCGUGCAUCAGAAUGGCACGGUGAAUACGUUCCCGGGCCUUGUACACACCGCCCGUCACACCAUGGGAGUGGACUGCA